UCGCUAUAAAUGUCAAGAUCAUUCCUGUUUAGAUUUAUAGUUUUUAUUUCAAAAUCCCAGGUUUACUAUAACAUAAGCAUUACAAAAGGGCAUUUAUUUGAAAAGCAGUUUUUCUUGUAGAUAAAUUCACAUUUGCCGUCAUGGUUGCCAUCACGUGGCGCCAACUGACUUUUGUUCAUUCAAUGUUCGGCAUAUGGCUUAAUAUUUCGCUUUCAGCUCGAAGAGGAUGCAUGAAUCUGUGACGACAAUGACGAAAAUGCAGUGUCCUAAAUAUGGACAUCGAUGGUGUUGCUGUCCCAGCUAUGUCUGAAACCCUGUAAGUGGUUCCUUUGGGUUGGAAGGCUUUUUCUUCCGUGGUUGGGGGACGUGAGGUUCCUCCUGUUCCAUGAGGCCGUUCUGCCUGCUGCCGCUAUGACGUGGUCUUUGUGAUUAGUCAGGUGUGGAGUCUAUUGCUUUACCGGGCUUCAUUAUGCAGUUCGGGCAGUCUCGUCACAGUUUUAAAGGGAUGGUUGGUGCGUUUCCAUCUUGUUUACCCAUCUGCAGCUCGGGCAUACAGCAUUCCGACUGAACGCUGUUCGGCGUUUUUAUCCUGGGAUUGGAGACUACGUUAGCUGCAUGCUGGAAUGUUUCAAUUAUAGGGUCUGAAAUGCAUUGACUUAUCGGUUUGUUUCCUGUGUAGAACGUCUUCGUUUGGCUGAAUACGUUGUACUGGUUUGUUUAUUACUAAAUUUGGAACACCUUACAUGUAAAAUUUUAUGGUUUUAUAUAAAGUGGUCAAAUUAAUCUGAUCCUGUUAUUUGUUAUAAAUAUAGUGCAGAUAUGUAUUACUAAA